CCUUGUCACAAAAUUGACUUAUACUUAAUAAAUUAUGUUUUAAUCCAUUAACUAACAAUACAUUGUCAAUAAAUGAGGAGGGUGAUAUGGAGAUUUUACCAACGCCAAUGAUUUGACUUUUAGCAUUAUCUCCAAAUGUGACUACUCCUCCUUCUUUUGAUUUCAAAGUGACGAAAAGGCUCUUGUCACCGGUCAUAUGCCUUGAGCAACCGCUAUCAAGAUACCACAUUCUCUUUUUGCUCCCGGCUGCAAGGC
rnacentral:lncRNA from 1 species